rnacentral:tRNA from 13 species
GCCACCACAGCUCAGAGGUUAGAGCACUGGUCUCGUAAACCAGGGGUCGCGAGUUCGAAUCUCGCUGGUGGCU